ensembl:misc_RNA 7SK 7SK RNA
GGAUGUAAGGGUGAUCUGGCUGUGACAUCUGUCACCCCAUUGAUUGCCAGGAUUGACUCAGUUGCUAGGGCUGGCUAGGUGGGUGUUCUCUUCUGCCUUCACCACUCCGUGUGUGUUCUUCCCAAAGUGGUGUGCUUGGAUGAAGAGUUUAGCAUUUCCCCAGCAGAGACAGACCAAUCUUUGGUCAAGGGUAUACGGGUAGCUGUGCUCCCCUGCUAGAGGCUCCAAAUUAGCUCUGAAAGUUCCCAGAUACUUAAAUCCAUCUCUAAAACAUUAAAAAAAAUCAAUUUAUUUACUGGAUAGAGAAAGAGAAAUU